UGCCUUUAUUUUACCACAAGGUUGAUCUAUAUAGAGUUCGUUCGUUUUACGAACUAUGGCGAUAAACGCGACAGUUUAACCGGUUCGGACCCGGGGGCGGUACCCGGCGACUCCACCACCAGUACUUGUUUUGGCAAGUAUUGCUGAUGGGGUCGAAAUAGUAU
rnacentral:tmRNA from 1 species